rnacentral:rRNA from 1 species
UACGUAGGGGGCGAGCGUUGUCCGGAUUUAUUGGGCGUAAAGAGCGUGUAGGCGGCUUGGUAGGUCUCGCGUCAAAACCUGAGGCUCAACCUCAGUUCGCGUGGGAAACCACCUAGCUAGAGUCCGGAAGAGGAGAACGGAAUUCCCAGUGUAGCGGUGAAAUGCGCAGAUAUUGGGAAGAACACCAGUGGCGAAGGCGGUUCGUCUGGGACGGUACUGACGCUGAGACGCGAAAGCGUGGGGAGCGAACAGG